AUUUGUCUGGUUAAUUCCGAUAACGAACGAGACCUUAACCUGCUAACUAGAUUCUUCUAUUUUAUAGUUGAUAUCUUCUUAGAGGGACUAUGUAAUACAAAUACAUGGAAGUUUGAGGCAAUAACAGGUCAGUGAUGCCCUUAUAUGUCCUGGGCUGCACGCGUGCUACACUGAUGCAUACAACAAGUGCCUAGCCAGACAUGGUAUGGCAAUCUCGAAUAUGCAUCGUGAUGGGGAUAGAUCUUUGCAAUUAUAGAUCUUGAACGAGGAAUUCCUAGUAAGUGCAAGUCAUCAUCUUGCAUUGAUUAUGUCCCUGCCCUUUGUACACACCGCCCGUCGCUCCUACCGAUACCGGGUGAUCCGGUGAACCUUUUGGACUCAUUUGGGAAAGAUAAGUAAACCAUAUCACCUAGAGGAAGGAGAAGUCGUAACAAGGUUUCCGUAGGUGAACCUGCRGAAGGAUCA
rnacentral:rRNA from 1 species